CGGAGCAUGGCGCAGCUUGGCUAGCGCACCUGGUUUGGGACCAGGGGGUCGCAGGUUCAAAUCCUGCUGCUCCGACCA
rnacentral:tRNA from 1 species